GAUGAACGCUGGCGGCGUGCCUAAUACAUGCAAGUCGAGCGAACAGACGAGGAGCUUGCUCCUUUGACGUUAGCGGCGGACGGGUGAGUAACACGUGGGUAACCUACCUAUAAGACUGGGAUAACUUCGGGAAACCGGAGCUAAUACCGGAUAAUAUUUCGAACCGCAUGGUUCGAUAGUGAAAGAUGGCUCUGCUAUCACUUUUAGAUGGACCUGCGCCGUAUUAGCUAGUUGGUAAGGUAACGGCUUACCAAGGCAACGAUACGUAGCCGACCUGAGAGGGUGAUCGGCCACACUGGAACUGAGACACGGUCCAGACUCCUACGGGAGGCAGCAGUAGGGAAUCUUCCGCAAUGGGCGAAAGCCUGACGGAGCAACGCCGCGUGAGUGAUGAAGGUCUUCGGAUCGUAAAACUCUGUUAUUAGGGAAGAACAAACGUGUAAGUAACUGUGCACGUCUUGACGGUACCUAAUCAGAAAGCCACGGCUAACUACGU
rnacentral:rRNA from 1 species